UGAAAAUGUGAAUUGACUGGAAGGUUACCCAAAGAAGGCCCAUAUAUCGGGGGCAAAGCCUGAAACUGUCGAUUUCAGGACCCCAGGACAGCCAACUUCAAGAGCAGGAUAAAAUGAUUACUUCAGGAAUCUUACCUAUCACUUCACAUCAGCGGCAAAGAUUGAUGUAGCCACCAGUAAUGCCUACCCUAAAGCUGACUUACAGGCGGCUGUGAUGGACAACAACUAUUGCCAAGUGCCAUGAAAAGAAUAAAGCAUGGAUAGAGGGAAUGAUGUUGAGGAACAAACAGCGAAGGACACUGAGUAAGCAAGUUAUAACAAGGAAAGAGCGCAAUCUGACACAAGGAGAGACAAUGGCGGAUCACUGCCUCAAGAUUUGGAGAGAUAAUUGCAGCUACAGAGAAGAAGUAUAUAAACAAACUGUAUGAAUCAUUGUUGUGUCCAAAACCAUUGCAGACACAU